rnacentral:rRNA from 1 species
GUGUCAGCAGCCGCGGUAAUACAGAGGGUGCAAGCGUUGUCCGGAAUUACUGGGCGUAAAGGGCGCGUAGGCGGUCCAAUAAGUAGGGGGUGAAAUCUCACGGCUCAACCGGGAGGCUGCCUUCUAGACUGUUGGACUUGAGCACGGUAGAGGCAGAUGGAAUUCCCGGUGUAGCGGUGGAAUGCGUAGAGAUCGGGAAGAACACCAGUGGCGAAGGCGAUCUGCUGGGCCGUUGCUGACGCUGAGGCGCGACAGCGUGGGGAGCAAACAGGAUUAGAUACCCUGGUAGUCC